UAUUUACUUGUUAAAAUAUUCCUUUCUGAGUUUUGGUUUCUUGUUCUCUCGCUCCUCAAGAAACUAAAAAAAAAAAAAAAAAAAAAAAAGAGAACAGUUAAUUGUAAAUAUUACAAUGCGAUCUCUUUUUUAAACGUGAAAAGAGGAAAAAUAAAACAAAAAUGAAGCAGGAAUCCAGCAGCUUCUAUUUGCCCAAAACGAAAUCCCUGAUUUCUUCCUAUAAUUUAUUUUCUCCGAUUCCGAACAAGAAGAAUACAAAAUAGAAGACGCAAUGGAAAAUUCAUCUUUUUAGGUUGAUUGGUUGAAGAAUGUGUUAUGAUACUGCUUUCUGAAGAAGCAACUAUGGAGAUACAAUCUUACCAGAAUCAGGCAGAGCUGUUGUUAAAGGAAUAUUUAUUGGCAGAUUCCUUCAUCCCAUACACAUCAGUUAUUUGUGGCAUUUUUGCUUGCAAGAUGGUCUAUGAUCUUACACAGUUGUUUAGCAGUGUUUACUUUAAGAGCUAUCUCAUCCUAUCAAAAGUCCAACGGAAUGAGUGGAACAACCGAUCCAUAUCAACCGUUCAUGCCAUUUUCAUAACAGUCAUGUCCUUAUACUUCGUGUUUUGGUCAAAUCUCUAUUCUGAUAACCGAUAUGCUGGCAUGAUUAUGUUUCGUAGUUCUGCAUUGUCUACAUUCACAUUGGGGGUAUCUGUUGGUUACUUUCUUGCUGACAUUGGGAUGAUCAUUUGGUUUUACUCUUCUCUAGGUGGAAUAGAGUAUGUCAUUCAUCAUUUUCUCUCCUUAACAGCUGUCGCAUAUUCUAUGAUGACUGGGGAAGGUCAGCUAUACACCUUCAUGGUACUUAUCUCUGAGACUACCACGCCUGGGAUCAAUUUGAGAUGGUAUCUUGAUACGGCUGGAAUGAAGAGAUCAAGAGCUUACUUAAUUAAUGGAGUUGUAAUAUUUGUAACAUGGCUGGUUGCUAGAAUACUCCUGUUUAUGUACCUAUUUUAUCACGUUUACUUGCACUUUGAUCAGGUUAAGCUGGUGCACAGCUAUGGGCUACUGUUAAUAUUCGUCGUGCCUUUUAUCCUAUCAGUUAUGAACUUAAUGUGGUUUGGAAAGAUUAUCAAGGGUUUAAGGAAAACAUUAGCAAAGAGGCAAUGAAGGGUACUUCACGGUGACUGACACAUGAAGUUACAUUGACAAACAAAAACACUACUUGCCAUUAAGCUCAAUGCCCGGUGCUAGAAGAGAUGGGAGUUGUUGGCAUCACUAGUAAUUAUCUCAAAAAUCAUGCUCUUCUCAAUAAAUGAUUCGGAGGUUUGGAGAUGAGAGACUGUUUUUGAAGAGAGACAUUAUUGCCACAAAAUAUGGCCAUGGUUUGAUGAAUUUGCUUCCACAACCUAAUUGUCCUAUUGGAGUGUCCUUUGUGUGUAAAGAUAUCACUAGAGGGAUCAUAUAAUGAUAUUCUUAAAAAUGAGUUUAUGCUUGUGGUGUAGGAAAGGUAAUUGUAUUGAUUUUGUUAGCAAUUUUUUUAUGGAUAGCGGAAGUUUAAAAAUUUUCACAAAAUCGAACCUUUGUUGUAUUAUUUAUGGUUAUAAAUUUUACCAAAUUUAGUAUGUUAAUUAA